rnacentral:rRNA from 1 species
AUUGAACGCUGGCGGCAUGCUUUACACAUGCAAGUCGAACGGCAGCGCGGGCUUCGGCCUGGCGGCGAGUGGCGAGCGGGUGAGUAAUGCAUCGGAACGUGCCCAGUAGUGGGGGAUAGCCCGGCGAAAGCCGGAUUAAUACCGCAUACGACCUUAGGGUGAAAGCGGGGGACCGAAAGGCCUCGCGCUAUUGGAGCGGCCGAUGUCGGAUUAGCUAGUUGGUGGGGUAAAGGCUUACCAAGGCGACGAUCCGUAGCUGGUCUGAGAGGACGACCAGCCACACUGGGACUGAGACACGGCCCAGACUCCUACGGGAGGCAGCAGUGGGGAAUUUUGGACAAUGGGGGCAACCCUGAUCCAGCCAUGCCGCGUGCGGGAAGAAGGCCUUCGGGUUGUAAACCGCUUUUGUUCGGGAAGAAAUCCUCUGGGCUAAUACCCCGGGGGGAUGACGGUACCGGAAGAAUAAGCACCGGCUAACUACGUG